rnacentral:rRNA from 1 species
UACGUAGGGUCCGAGCGUUGUCCGGAAUUACUGGGCGUAAAGCGCGCGCAGGCGGUCGUUCAAGUCGCGUGUGAAAGCCCCCGGCUCAACUGGGGAGGGUCACGCGAUACUGAUCGACUCGAAGGCAGGAGAGGGAAGUGGAAUUCCCGGUGUAGUGGUGAAAUGCGUAGAUAUCGGGAGGAACACCAGUGGCGAAGGCGACUUCCUGGCCUGUUCUUGACGCUGAGGCGCGAAAGCUAGGGGAGCAAACGGG